GACGAACGCUGGCGGCGUGCCUAAUACAUGCAAGUCGAGCGAGCGGCGGACGGGUGAGUAAUGUCUGGGAAACUGCCUGAUGGAGGGGGAUAACUACUGGAAACGGUAGCUAAUACCGCAUACCAUCAGAUGUGCCCAGAUGGGAUUGGCUAGUAGGUGGGGUAACGGCUCACCUAGGCGACGAACCCUAGCUGGUCUGAGAGGAUGACCAGCCACACUGGAACUGAGACACGGUCCAGACGCCUACGGGAGGCAGCAGAGGUGAAUAUGGCACAAUGGGCGCAAGCCUGAUGCAGCCAUGCAACGUGUAUGAAGAAGGCCUUCGGGUUGUAAAGUACUUUCAGCGGGUGGGCGUUACCCGCAGAAGAAGCACCGGCUAACUCCGUGCCAGCAGCCGCGGUAAUUC
rnacentral:rRNA from 1 species